GAUGAGCACCUUCUUGAAAGAUCCUUAGAGGAAUCACAUCAUUUGCCAUGUCAGGUAACACAUCCUCCCCCCGCCCCCCCAAUAUAGGGAACACUAGCAGGUUCAGAAGAUUAGAAUGCAGACAAAAAAAUUUUUUUAAGAUUUUAUUUAUUUAGAGAGAGAGCAUGAGCAGGGGAGGACCAAAGGGAGAGCAAGAAGCAGCCACCCCGCCCCAGAGGGAGCCCAAGGUGGGGCUGGAUCCCAGGACCCCGGGAUCAUGACCCGAGCCAAAGGCAGGUGCUGAAGUGACUGAGCCACCCAGACAUCCCUGAGUGUGUACAGAGCUUUUUGGUUCAAUCUACCGCAACCACCUGGUCCCCAAAGGCUCUGGCACAGCCGUGUUUACGGUGGUGUAAGUUGAACUGAGGGGUCAAGUGCACACACAUAACGGCGGAGGUUGUGAGCACGUAGCUGGGGGACAGUUACGCAGGGUUCAUACCCAGCCCUUAGGACUCUAGACUUCAUGCUUUUAAAUCACUAGUCAGUAUUGUCACCUUCUUGCCCUUUUAUGUGUGAGCUGUCGUCAAUAUGUUCAAAGUCAGCAGUUACGGAAAGGAAGCCUACGGGGGCGCCAGCAGACCCGGCACUCGUGGAGGAGACUCGCCCCCCCCCCGCCCCCCCCCCCCAAGUUGGUGCAGAGACGACUGCAGGAGAGUAGCCAGGAGGCUGAAUUCAUUCUUGCUGCCUCUUUUCAAUUCGCAGUUCAGUGUCAGCGUCUCAGUCUGGCAGAUCAGAAAGCUGCUGAGGAUGUUUGGCAUGAGUUUCCACAGGGAAGACUGGAGUCACUGAGAAGCCACAUUCUAAUCCCUUCAGGGCCUCCCAGUGGAAAAGCGACAGAACCCAAAGUCACCGUGGAAGUGGGACCCACGGCGGUAGGACACUGGCACCUGCCCACCUGGCCGCGUGAGAAUCGUGAAGUGACGACACCUCUGGAGGCCUCGAUUUCUCUGUCACCCUCAACACUAAGAGUUUUGGCCCUGGUCCUCUUGCUGAGUCAACGAGAAAGUCUUCAUGGAAAUGAAAACGGUAGAUUCUGA
rnacentral:lncRNA from 1 species